AUCCAGCUGGCUCAGCUGGUGGAGCAUGAGACUCUUGAUCUUGGGUUGUGAGUUCAAGCCCCACAUUGGGUG
rnacentral:tRNA from 1 species